rnacentral:rRNA from 1 species
CGGCGUGGAUGAGGCAUGCAAGUCGAACGAAGUUGUAGCUUGCUGCAACUUAGUGGCGGAAGGGUUAGUAAUACAUGGAUAAUCUGCCUUUAACUUCGGGAUAACGAUUGGAAACGAUCGCUAAUACCGGAUGAGGUGAAAUAAAGUGAUCUUUGUUUCAUCAAAGUGGGGGACUCUUUAAAGGAGCCUUGCGGUUGAAGAGGAGUCCAUGUGAUAUCAGCUUGUUGGUGUGGUAAAGGCGCACCAAGGCUAAGACGUCUAGGCGGGUUGAGAGAUUGACCGCCAACACUGGGACUGA